rnacentral:misc_RNA from 1 species
GAUGAAGAACGUAGCGAAAUGCGAUACUUGGUGUGAAUUGCAGAAUCCCGAGAACCAUCGAGUCUUUGAACGCAAGUUGCGCCCGAAGCCAUUAGGCCGAGGGCACGCCUGCCUGGGCGUCACACGUCGUUGCCCCCCCAUCUACUCCUUCGGGAUUGCGGGGGGCGGAUGAUGGCCUCCCGUGCGCCUCGCCGCGCGGUUGGCAUAAAUGCCAAGUCCUCGGCGACGCACGCCACGACAAUCGGUGGUUGCGAAACCUCGGUUGCCCGUCGUGUGCGGUCGUCGCGCAUCGAGGGCUCGAAAAAAUUGCCGGGUUCCGGCUCGGCUUUCAACGCGACCCCAGGUCAGGCGGGGUUACCCGCUGAAUUUAAGCAUAUCAAUAAGCGGA